UGUAUGUAUAAGAGAGAGAAAGAGAGAGAGAGAGAGAUAGAGAGAGAGGGGAGGAAGGAGAAGAAGAGGUAGCCCACGGUCUUGGAAGUGCAGCGUUCGUGCCAGGCUGUGCGGCCUGGUACCACAGCAGAGAGAUAGCGACUGUUGGGAGGGAAUGUGCAUCGAGAGAGGACGGGGUGCAGGAGUGCACCGAAUGCGCACUUGAAAAUUACUUGACGACGAUGGCGACGACGACGGCGAUGAUGACGAUUACAAAAUUGAUUUGCCCUUCUGAAGAUCGUAUUACCAGUGAUUCAUUCCGGUCCUAGGAAUCAAACGACACAUCUUGUUUUUUUCCUCGUUUUUCUGGUUUUUGUUUGUUUAUUUGUUUGUUUGUUUUUUCUUUUUCCACAAUCGCAAUAGAAAUGAUAUAAAUACAUGUAAUAAGAUAUGUCAAACUGGACACAUUUAAAAUUAGAUCUUUUCCUAUUGA